UACGUAGGUGGCGAGCGUUGUCCGGAUUUACUGGGCGUAAAGCGCGCGCAGGCGGUGCGGUAAGUCCUUGGUGAAAUCGCCCGGCUCAACUGGGCGGGUGCCGGGGAGACUGCCGGACUAGAGGAGCCUAGAGGCCGGUGGAACUCCCGGUGUAGUGGUGAAAUGCGUAGAGAUCGGGAAGAACACCAGUGGCGAAGGCGGCCGGCUGGGGGCGUCCUGACGCUGAGGCGCGAGAGCGUGGGGAGCAAACCGG
rnacentral:rRNA from 1 species